rnacentral:ncRNA from 2 species
CUGUUCGCCAAUUAAAAGGGUACAUAGCGAUAUAUAUUGGAUAGUUAACUAAUUUCGGUGAAAUCCUAAUUUCGCUGUUGCGAGAACGCGGAAACGCGGAUAUUAAUUCUACCUGGAUUAUUAGGACAAUACCGAGGGAAGUUUAGUGAUUUUGUGAAGGGUGGGAAGGAUGACCACUGUCAGUCGCCAAGUGCACUGGCGCAUGGAAGAGAGCCCAACUCACCCUUCCCUUCACAAAAUCACUAAAUGCCCGUAGAGACUGAACGUUAACUCUCUUGAGCGAAGCAAAAGAGAUCCCGAGCGAAUGCGAGGGACCACCGCUUCUUUAAGAAAAAGAUACAGUCCAAUCCACGUAGUAAUACGUGA